GCUUUUUUUGGGGUUUUUUUGGUGAUUUUUGGGGUUUUUUUUGGUGUUUUUUUAGGGUUUUUAUGAGCUUUUUUUGGGGUUUUUUGGUGAUUCUUGAAUUCCUUUUUGGGGGGUUGGGCUUUUUUUAGUGGUUUUUGGUUUUUUUUGGUGAUUUUUGGGGUUUUUUUGGUGUUUUUUUAGGGUUUUUAUGAGCUUUUUUUGGGUUUUUUUGGGGGGGGUUUUGCGGCUUUUAUUCCGGGUUUUGGGGGUUUUUUUGUUUGUUUUUUUAGGUUUUUUUUGAGCUUUUUUUGGCGUUUUUAGUGAUUUUGGGAGUUUUGUGGUCGUUUUUUGGGCUUUUUUUAGUGGUUUCUGGGUCUUUUCUUUGGGCUGUUUUGGUGGGUUUUAGGGUUUUUUUGAGCUUUUUUUGGGUUUUGGUGAUUUUUGGGUUUUUUUUGGGGUAUUUUUGGCGGGUUUUUGGGUUUUUGUGGGGCUACUUUUGGUACCUUUUGGGAUUUUUUGAAGGUUUUUUUUUGAGAUUUUUCUGUGGUUUUUGGGGAUUUAUUGGGGUUUUUUGGGGGUUUUUUUGGGGGGUUUUCUUGGGCUUUUUUUGUUGAUUUGGGGGGAUUUUUUUGAGCAUGUUGGAGUUUUUUUAGUUAUUUUUGGGGGGGUUAUUUUGGACUUUUUUGGGGGAUUUUUGGUGGUUUUUGAGCUUUUUUAGGGCUUUUUUUGGUGGCUCUUUUGGGGCUUUUUUUGGUGUUUUUUUGGUGAUUUUUGGUGUUUUUUUGAUGAUCUUUGGGUUUUUUUGAGCUUUUUUUAAUGGUCUUUUUGGGCCUUUUUUGGUGGUUUUUGGGUCAUUUUGUGCUGGAGGCGGGGGAUGUUUUUGGGGUAUUUCUGGAUAUUUUUGGGAUAAUUUUGGGGUAUUUUUGGGAUAUUUUGGGGUAUUUUUGGGAUAUUUUUGGGUAUUUUUGGGAUAUUUUUGGGUUAUUUUUGGAUAUUUUGGGACAUUUUGGGUGUCACAGCAUUUGCAGCCGGGCUGGGCGGAAUCAGGGAGCUGGAGGUGGGGGAUGUUUUUGGGAUAUUUUGGGAUAUUUUGGGAUAUUUUGGGAUAAUUUUGGGAUAUUUUUGGGAUAUUUUUGGGAUAUUUUGGGAUAUUUUUUGGAUAUUUUGGGAUAUUUUGGGGGUCACUCACAGCGUUGGCAGCCGGGCUGGGCGGGAUCGGGGAGCUGGACGUGGUGGAUGUUUCUGGGAUAUUUUAGGGAUAUUUUGGGAUAUUUUUGGGAUAAUUUUUGGAUAAUUUUGGGAUAUUUUGGGGGUCACUCACAGCAUUUGCAGCCGGGCUGGGCGGGAUCGGGGAGCUGGAGGCGGGGGAUGUUUCUGGGGUAUUUUUGGGAUAUUUUGGGAUAUUUCUGGAUAAUUUUUGGAUAAUUUUUGGAUAUUUUGGGGGUCACUCACAGCGUUGGCAGCCGGGCUGGGCGGGAUCGGGGAGCUGGACGUGGUGGAGGUCGGGGUGCUGCUGCUCUGGUUGAAGAUCUCGUCCUCCAUCUGGGAGUGGCUGGGGGGGGACGUGGCCACCAGAGCCUGCGCUGGGGGGGCACGGGGGGGUCACCCUGAGCAUCCCCCCCCCCCAAAAACCCCCCGGAACCCCCCGACUUCCUCCCCAAAAAAAUCCCCU
rnacentral:lncRNA from 1 species